GCAGGGAUCACAUGGGCAUGUGUGGAUGUGAAGUUCUACACUGAAGAGAUCAAUAUCUUCGUGGUCCAGGCACUCUUCCAGGAUGCCCAUCCUUUAACAUCACUUAACCUCAGUGACGGAGUGUCUGUACAAGGUUGUCCUUCCUGUUCGCCCUGUGGUUUGGGCAUGGAGCGACAAGCUGUGUAGGCUGUGAAGGCACAUAUGUAUUUGUUCCUGAACAGCUACAAUGACAACGAUAACAACGUGGUCAUUAACUUCUUCGCUGAUGGCCAUUCUGUGACAUCACUUAAGAUCGACGACCAUAUGAAUGAAAAAGAUCAAAUGUUUCUGCAAAAGCUGCUUUGACACUGCAUGACACAUGAUUAUUCAAAACCAUGUUUAAAACACAGCUAUGCCAUGCUAAGAUACAGUAUGUCCUAAUGAAAAUAAAUUGAUAUGAAGACAUUCA